GACGAACGCUGGCGGCGUGCUUAACACAUGCAAGUCGAGCGAGAAACCUUCGGGUUUCUAGCGGCGGACGGGUGAGUAACACGUGGGUAACCUGCCUCAAAGAGGGGAAUAGCCUCCCGAAAGGGAGAUUAAUACCGCAUAAUAUUAAAAUUUCGCAUGAAGUUUUAAUUAAAGGAGUAAUCCGCUUUGAGAUGGACCCGCGGCGCAUUAGCUAGUUGGAGAGGUAACGGCUCACCAAGGCCACGAUGCGUAGCCGACCUGAGAGGGUGAUCGGCCACAUUGGAACUGAGACACGGUCCAGACUCCUACGGGAGGCAGCAGUGGGGAAUAUUGCACAAUGGGCGAAAGCCUGAUGCAGCAACGCCGCGUGAGUGAUGACGGUCUUCGGAUUGUAAAGCUCUGUCUUUUGGGACGAUAAUGACGGUACCAAAGGAGGAAGCCACGGCUAACUACGUGCCAGCAGCCGCGGUAACAC
rnacentral:rRNA from 1 species